GGUUGAUCCUGCCAGUAGUGAUAUGCUUGUUUCAAAGAUUAAGCCAUGCAUGUCUAAGUAUAAGCGAACUUAUACAGUGAAACUGCGGAUGGCUCAUUAAAACAGUUUGAAUUUAUUUGAUGAAUGUAUGAGAAUACUACUUGGAUAACCGUAGUAAUUCUAGAGCUAAUACAUGCAACGACGCCCGACCGUUUCACUACGGAAGGGCUGUAUUUAUUGGAUACCAAAACCAUCCUUCCCUCGGGAAGUUUUGUUUGAUGAUUCACAAUAACUGAUCGGAUCGCCACUGUGGUGGCGACAGGUCAUUCAACAUUCUGCCCUAUCAGCUUUCGAUGGUUGUGUAGUGGACAACCAUGGCCAUAACGGGUAACGGAGAAUCAGGGUUCGAUUCCGGAGAAGGAGCUUGAGAAUUGGCUACUACAUCUAAGGAAGGCAGCAGGCGCGCAAAUUACCCAAUCCCGAUUCGGGGAGGUAGUGACAAAAAAUAACAAUACCGGGCCUUUUUGGGCUUGGUAAUUGGAAUGAGGGAGAGUUAAACGGACCAUCGAGUAUCCAUUGGAGGGCAAGUCUGGUGCCAGCAGCUGCGGUAAUACCAGCUCCAAUAGCGUAUAUUAAAGUUGUUGCAGUUAAAAAGCUCGUAGUUGGACUUGUGUGCGCUGUCCGCGGGUGGCCUGCGCCCAAAAGGGCGUUUCGGUUCGGCCCCGGUGGCGCCUUGAAAUCUGCAGCUGGGGGGACGUUGGCCUUAACUGGUCGGCGACCGCACGCCGGCUGCUCGGUUACUGUGAGAAAAUUAGAGUGUUCAAGGCAGGCAUUGGGUGCAAUUGAAUACAUUAGCAUGGAAUAAUAAAAUAUGGCUCCUGCCGUAUUUUGUUGGUUUUGACUGGUGGGAGUAAUGAUUGAUAGGGACGGUUGGGGGUGCUAGUAUUGAGCGGCCAGAGGUGCAAUUCAUGGAUUCGCUCAAGACUAACUUAUGCGAAAGCAUUCACCAAGGACGUCCUCUUUAAUCAAGAACGAAAGUUGGGGGAUCGAAGACGAUCAGAUACCGUCGUAGUCUCAACCAUAAACUAUGUCGACUUGGGAUCGGCGGUAGUUUUUUCAUUAAGACACUGUCGGGACCACGGGAGAAAUCAAAGUGUCUGGACUCUGGGGGAAGUAUGGUCGCAAGGCUGAAACUUGAAGGAAUUGACGGAAGGGCACCACCAGGAGUGGAGCCUGCGGCUUAAUUUGACCCAACACGGGGAAACUUACCAGGUCCAGAGAUGUAGAGGAUUGACAGAUUGAAGCUCUUUCUUGAUCACUUCGGUGGUGGUGCAUGGCCGUUCUUAGUUGGUGGAGUGAU
rnacentral:rRNA from 1 species